rnacentral:piRNA from 1 species
CAGUGGAAUAUAGAGCUUUAAAUAUGUA